GAGUCUAUCUUACAGAGUGAAGUAAGUCAGAAAGAGAAAAACAGAUAUCAUAUAUUAAUACAUAUACAUGGAACCUAGAAAAAUAGUACAGAUGUACCUAUUUGCAGGGCAAGAAUAGAGACGCAGACGUAGAGAACGGAUGGACACAGAAGCAAAAGAGAGUGUGGAU